ACGACAAUGUCUCCUAUAUUGCUUUGUUGUUUUCGACAAUUGACGGCACUAGUAAUGUGCUAUCUGUUUUACGGUUCGAUAUAUUUAUAUACACACACACGUAUAUUUAUCGCAGACGUGUUCGCACCGUCCGAAUGAAAUAAUCGAAACGAACUCGCGACAGGAGAAACAAAAAUAAACCACACUUAAACAGCGCUAUCGUUGAGAAAAAUAAUAUUCACGAUCCGGUUCGC